rnacentral:rRNA from 1 species
UACGAAGGGGGCUAGCGUUGCUCGGAAUCACUGGGCGUAAAGGGCGCGUAGGCGGUCGUGACAAGUCACUUGUGAAAUCUCCGGGCUUAACUCGGAACGGUCAAGUGAUACUGUCGGACUAGAGUACAGAAGGGGCAACUGGAAUUCUCGGUGUAGCGGUGAAAUGCGUAGAUAUCGAGAGGAACACCUGCGGCGAAGGCGGGUUGCUGGGCUGAUACUGACGCUGAGGCGCGAAAGCCAGGGGAGCGAACGGG